rnacentral:rRNA from 2 species
AUCUCUUGGUUCCAGCAUCGAUGAAGAACGCAGCGAAAUGCGAUACGUAAUGUGAAUUGCAGAAUUCAGUGAAUCAUCGAAUCUUUGAACGCAUAUUGCGCCCCUCGGUAUUCCGGGGGGCAUGCCUGUUCGAGCGUCAUU